rnacentral:rRNA from 1 species
UACAGAGGUCUCGAGCGUUGUUCGGAUUCAUUGGGCGUAAAGGGUGCGUAGGCGGCGCGGUAAGUCGGGUGUGAAAUCUCGGAGCUUAACUCCGAAACUGCAUUCGAUACUGCGUGCUUGAGGACUGGAGAGGAGACUGGAAUUUACGGUGUAGCGGUGAAAUGCGUAGAUAUCGUAAGGAAGACCAGUGGCGAAGGCGGGUCUCUGGACAGUUCCUGACACUGAGGCACGAAGGCCAGGGGAGCAAACGGG